UACGGGGGGGGUAAGCGUUGUUCGGAAUUACUGGGCGUAAAGGGCUCGUAGGCGGCCAACUAAGUCAUACGUGAAAUCCCUCAGCUUAACUGGGGAACUGCGUGUGAUACUGGAUGGCUUGGAUUUGGGAGAGGGAUGCGGAAUUCCAGGUGUAGCGGUGAAAUGCGUAGAUAUCUGGAGGAACACCGGUGGCGAAGGCGGCAUCCUGGACCAAUAUUGACGCUGAGGAGCGAAAGCUAGGGGAGCAAACAGG
rnacentral:rRNA from 1 species